ensembl:misc_RNA Y_RNA Y RNA
UGCUGGUCACAAGUUAGUGAGUUAUUUCCACGGAUUGUUCACAGUCAGUUACAGAUUGAACACUUUGUUCUAUUGUUUCUCCCCUUCUCAAUACCACAUUUGACUAGUGCUUU